GACGUAGGGUCCAAGCGUUGUCCGGAUUUACUGGGCGUAAAGAGCGCGUAGGCGGUCUGUUAAGUGUGAAGUGAAAUCUCUAGGGCUCAACCCAGAAACUGCUUUACAUACUGGCAGACUUGAGUGAUGAAGAGGUUUGUGGAAUUCCUGGUGUAGCGGUGAAAUGCGUUGAUAUCUACAGGAACUCCGGUGGCGAAAGCGGCGUGCUGGACCUUUUCUGACGCUGAGGCGCGAAAGCUAGGGGAGCAAACGGG
rnacentral:rRNA from 1 species